rnacentral:rRNA from 1 species
UACGUAGGUGGCAAGCGUUGUCCGGAAUUAUUGGGCGUAAAGCGCGCGCAGGCGGUCCUUUAAGUCUGAUGUGAAAGCCCACGGCUCAACCGUGGAGGGUCAUUGGAAACUGGGGAGCUUGAGUGCAGAAGAGGAGAGUGGAAUUCCACGUGUAGCGGUGAAAUGCGUAGAGAUGUGGAGGAACACCAGUGGCGAAAGCGGCUCUCUGGUCUGUAACUGACGCUGAGGCGCGAAAGCGUGGGGAGCAAACAGG